GCCUGGUUAGCUUAGUUGGUAGCGCGUCUGCCUUGUAAGCGCUAGGCCGCGGGUUCGAUUCCCGCCUGGGCG
rnacentral:tRNA from 1 species